UACGUAGGGAGCAAGCGUUGUCCGGAAUCAUUGGGCGUAAAGCGCGCGUAGGUGGCCCCAUAAGUCCGCUGUGAAAGUCAAAGGCUCAACCUUUGAAAGCCGGUGGAUACUGUGGGACUAGAGUACGGAAGAGGCGAGUGGAAUUCCUGGUGUAGCGGUGGAAUGCGCAGAUAUCAGGAAGAACACCCGUGGCGAAGGCGGUUCUCUGGGACGGUACUGACGCUGAGACGCGAAAGCGUGGGGAGCGAACAGG
rnacentral:rRNA from 1 species